CUGAAUCUUGUCUGGAUGUUACAGGACAGAUGAGACACACGUGUUUAUCCAGUGAAGAGUGACUGAUGAAGGAAUGCUGCCAUCAAAGGCUCUCACAGAGCUUUUGUGGUGGAGCAGGUGACGUCGGCAUUUGUGGGAAAAAAGGAAAACCUGAAACAAAAAUAUAAAGAUCUGAAAUGUCCACAGCCUAGUGUGAGCAGUGAGGAUGGAGAAGUCCACAGCAGCAUCCUGGAAAUGGUCCAGUGUCCUGGAUGAGACGCUCCAUCACUCCAUAUGCCCUCAUCUGUUUCUUCAUCCUCAGUGAGCCCAGAGCCAGCUAGAGCAUCUAGAAAAAAGACCAAAAGACAUUGAGGAUGUGAUUUUGGUCAAGUUUGUUCUGCUGGUUUCUGUUCAUACAACAUCAAUCAAUGGAGCCCGAGUUUCAGAAGCUUCAAAAGCAUCAUCAAAUAAUGUCAAGAAGCUUCUGAAAGUCAGGCUCCAUUGACUGAUAUU